AAAUUCUGUGCGUGCAGCGGGCAUUGAGGUGCGUGGCUCUGCUCUAGGGGUUGGUCGUGUGGACCCUUGGCUCACCUUUCUUGACUCUGCGUAUUCGUCCGCUAGCCGUGCUGCCUCGAUUAAGUUAGCAGGGCGACGAUCUCUCACCCAAUCCUGUAUGUCUGCCGCCAGAUCUUGGAAGAAAUGUUCCAUUAGGAAUAGCUGUAGUACUUCCUCUCCUGUGUUGGCAUUGCACCCUCGCACCCAAUGUGAUGCCACCCUUUGCAUCUUGUUUGCCCAUUCCAUGUGGGAGUCUGCAGCCUUCUUUUUAGACUCCCUGAAGCGACGGCGAUACAUUUCCGGGGUGACGGCAUAUCUGGUGAGCAGUGCAGCCUUCACCCGGCGAUACUGCGCAAUAUCUUCCUCAGUAAGCGCCCGAAAAGCCUCAUUUGCUUUUCCUGAUAGCUUUCCAGCCAAAAUAGUGACCCGUUGGUCUAGUGGUAUUUGGUGUAGUGAGCACUGCCUCUCGAAGUCAGCCAAAUAUCCGUCAAUCUCUUCCUCACUUUCCACAAACGCUUUGAACGCAGUGAAGGGUAUUUUCUGCCCUGUAGCAGCGGGUGGGGGAGUAUGAACUGUAUG